rnacentral:misc_RNA from 1 species
UUAAGUUCAGCGGGUAUCCCUACCUGAUCCGAGGUCAACCAUAAAGAAUGGGGGGGUUCUGACAGGUGGUUACCUGGACCCUAUAGCGAGAGGAUUACUACGCUUAGAGCCAGACGGCACCGCCACUGAUUUUAAGGGCCGCGAAACCGCGAACCCCAAGACAAGCCGAGGGCUUGAGUGGUUAUAAUGACGCUCGAACA